GGGGUCGGGUGUCUGAGCCCCCGUGCGGGCCCCCGCCGGAGCCCCACGGCGCUUACGGAGCUCUUUAAGAUAAAUGAGCAAAAUUAAGAGACUCACUGGGGGAAGAAAACCCUGGCUGGCAGCGAGUAAGAGCGGAUGGUACAGGGUUUCCUCCCCAAAAGGCGUCCGCGUGCCCCCUACUGGGGCCUCCCCCCGACCACCGCAGUCUCCAGGGAACUCCCUCGCCGCAGGAGAAGAACUUCCAGGCCCAGGGCAGGAGCGGUUCAGUUCUCAGGAUGUGGCGCCGACAAGUGUACUUCCAAGGCAGGACAGAGAAGCGUAAAGAGGAAAAUACAGUGCUGGACAAGCGGCAGCAGCAUGAAAAUAGACUUCGUGUGAAUCUCAACGCCAAGGGGCUGCGCGGGGGAUACCUAAAAGUCACCUGUUACUUCUACUAUUGAUAGUUUGAAAAUUUUCUAAAUUUGAAAUAUGUAUUAAAAACUAAUAUAUUGAAAAAUAUGUUCUGCUUUUACCUACUCAACAUUAUUUCACAAAUACCUUUUACUAUAUUUCAUACUCCUCCUAAAAAUAAUUUUUAUUAUGUUUAUCUUAUUUUGCAUGUGUGUACAUGUAUGUGUGCCAGGGAACAACGUACAGGAGUUGAUUCUCCUCUUCUAGUGCACAUGUCCCAGGGUUGAACUCUAGUGUCAGGCCCUUGCCUCCAGGGCUUUCUGAUGGACUUUGAGUGAGCCUGGUGUUUUCCGUCUUUGUAUGUUCUGUAUAUGAUUAUUUUAAUAAAAGCCAUAUUUUGUUCA